rnacentral:rRNA from 1 species
UACGAAGGGGGCGAACGUUGUUCGGAUUUACUGGGCGUAAAGGGCGCGCAGGCGGCUUUUCAAGUCAGGCGUGAAAGCCCCGGGCUUAACCUGGGAGGUGCGUCUGGGACUGAAGGGCUAGAGUUCGGGAGAGGAGAGUGGAAUUCCCAGUGUAGAGGUGAAAUUCGUAGAUAUUGGGAAGAACACCGGUGGCGAAGGCGGCUCUCUAGUACGGUACGUGACGCUGAGACGCGAAAGCGUGGGGAGCGAACAGG